rnacentral:rRNA from 1 species
UAGGGAAUCUUCGGCAAUGGACGAAAGUCUGACCGAGCAACGCCGCGUGAGUGAAGAAGGUUUUCGGAUCGUAAAACUCUGUUGUUAGAGAAGAACAAGGACGUUAGUAACUGAACGUCCCCUGACGGUAUCUAACCAGAAAGCCACGGCUAACUACGUGCCAGCAGCCGCGGUAAUUCGUAGGUGGCAAGCGUUGUCCGGAUUUAUUGGGCGUAAAGCGAGCGCAGGCGGUUUCUUAAGUCUGAUGUGAAAGCCCCCGGCUCAACCGGGGAGGGUCAUUGGCAACUGGGGGACUUGAGUGCAGAAGAGGAGAGUGGAAUUCCAUGUGUAGCGGUGAAAUGCGUAGAUAUAUGGAGGAACACCAGUGGCGAAGGCGGCUCUCUGGUCUGUAACUGACGCUGAGGCUCGAAAGCGUGGGGAGCAAACAGG